rnacentral:rRNA from 1 species
AGUGAACGCUGGCGGUAGGCCUAACACAUGCAAGUCGAACGGCAGCACAGUAAGAGCUUGCUCUUACGGGUGGCGAGUGGCGGACGGGUGAGGAAUACAUCGGAAUCUACUUUUUCGUGGGGGAUAACGUAGGGAAACUUACGCUAAUACCGCAUACGACCUACGGGUGAGAGCAGGGGAUCUUCGGACCUUGCGCGAUUGAAUGAGCCGAUGUCGGAUUAGCUAGUUGGCGGGGUAAAGGCCCACCAAGGCGACGAUCCGUAGCUGGUCUGAGAGGAUGAUCAGCCACACUGGAACUGAGACACGGUCCAGACUCCGACGGGAGGCAGCAGUGGGGAAUAUUGGACAAUGGGCGCAAGCCUGAUCCAGCCAUACCGCGUGGGUGAAGAAGGCCUGCGGGUUGUAAAGCCCUUUUGUUGGGAAAGAAGAGCAGCAGGUUAAUACCCCGCUGUUCUGACGGUACCCAAAGAAUAAGCACCGGCUAACUUCGU